UUCGACCCCUAGCCUGGGAACCUCCAUAUGCCUGGGAGUGGCCCCAGAAAAGGCAAAAAAGACCAAAAAAAAAACAAAAACAAAAACAAAAAAAAUCACUGGAAAUUUCAUCAAUGGGACACAAAGCUCAGAGAUUUCUCUCCCCCACCCCCUCCCCUGCUUCCUUCCCUGAGGCCAGAGCUCAGGUCUGACAAUGUGCUUAAAAGAGGCAAGAAGAGGAAAGAUGUAGGAAAACCCAGGGAUAAAAUGGUGGUUGAGGUUGGGAAAAUACAACUGUCAAACAGGAAGGCCACGGCCAGGACAGGCUUUUAGUGCUCUAAGAAGUGUUCAGGGGAGUUCCUGCUGUGGCGGUUAAGGAUCCAGUGUUGUCUCUAUAGCAGCUCGGGUCGCUGCUGCGGCUCAGAUUCAACCCCUGGCCCAGGAACUUCCACCUGCCACUGGUGCGGUCAAAAAAAGAAAGACAAAGAAAAUAACAGAAGAAAAGAACCGACUCUGCCUCUACAUUUAACACUAAUUUCUUCCUUCAGUAGGUUCUCUGGAGGAGCUGAAUCGAAGCUGGACUUCGAUGGGUGGCUACAUUGUGGGCAGGGUGAAGAGUACCCCGGUGCCCCAGGAAAGCCUAUUUUCCACAUGCUGCAGCCUCUCUGUAUACAGCACCUCACUGAGCUCAAGUCUGUGAAUGAAAAGAAAUUCCUGGCUCCUUCCCGUGAGAAUUCAGCGGGAGCCUCUUCCUCUGCACAUGUGUGUUUGCCUGAAGAAAACCCCGAACAAGGGCAUAACCAGCUAAGAGUCUCCUUCCUUCUUCAAGAAACAGCGGAGGAAUGCAGCAGAGCCACGUACAGGCAUUGAUCAGCUCUCUCUCCUGACCUCAUGUGCAGAUCACACCAAAGUAGGUAGUGGUAAUACCUGCCUUAUCCGUCUCACUGAAGCUUCUCAUGUCAACAGAGUUCUCCAUCUUAUCAUCCCUCCCUCUGUACGCUUGGCUGAUGAAAUCUGUCUGAAUAAGGCCUAUGUGCUUUGGGUGGCCCACAACAAACCUCUAAGGGCGGUAAAUUGCAUCUUGGAAAUGCAGGCUCUUUGGAACUGUGUCUGCAUUCAGACUCCCGGGGAUUUCAAUGCAGAGGGACUUGCAAGGUUUGCAUUUUUCAUUCAUUAACGCUGUGUUGCUGCCAAACUUCUCUUCCUGUUAGUCAUCCAGGGAGGAGGGCUCCACACAGCGGGAGGGUCAUAAAUUAUUGUGCGGCUCAAGCCAGCCCGAAUGGAAUACCAAGAGGGCCAUAGAUCUUGGCACAGGUUUUGUGAACGUUUUCUGAGAAAUCCAAAUGUAUUGAAAAAUCACAUGUUUAUAGAGGCAUGAAAAGACUCAGGCUAUCUUUAAAUUCGGCAAGCCAAGAAUUAAGCUUGUCCUCUGUCUAAACCAGUGUGAGAAACCCAGAAUUAGAUGACUCUGGAUAGUCUGUUUUUGCGGCAUUCCAUAGAAAAAUUGCUACAGUUAAAUAAUUCUUGAUUCUUGAUCUGUGGUUCUUAACCUUUUUUUCUUUUUCUUUUUCUUUCGGUGGAUCCCUCUGAGAAUCUGAAGAAAGCUCUGGACCUUCUGACCAGAAAUUGCCCACAAAAUACUCACACAAUUGAUUGUGUAUACAGUUUCAGGAGGUUCAUGGGUCCUCUGAGGCUCAGGCAUAACCCUCACGUGAAGAAUCUCUGCUCUUUACACUAGAAGCUCCUUGAUGGCAAUGAUUAUGUCUAAUUGUUAUGUCUAAUUAUAUCUAAUCUGCAUAACAUCCCUCCUGUUUCUGCCUAACACCCCCUUACAUACUCAGAAAUUCUAUUUAGUGUUUCCUGAUGUGAACUUACAGUAAUAAAGUUCCUUUCUAUUUUUACA